GUAGAUAAUAAAAGUUGAACAUUUGCUGGUGUUAAAGACUCAUUCCCUCUGCCUCUUUCAGCUGUUUCAAACAAGACUUUUGCCUUUGGGCUUCAAUCUGAUUCAAACGGACGAGAGCUCGAUUCCCCUGAAAGUCUGGACUUUAUUUCGGGUGUGAAUAAAGACAAACAAACUCUGAUCUGGACCAAACCAGUCCGUUUCCAAAUGGGGCUGACAUAAUAAUCAAAUGAACAGAGCAUGGAUCAGAGAGAGCACAGAGAGGACGGAGCCCCUCCCACUAAAACAAUCACUC